UCUCUUUUAGUUUAUAUUAAAACAUUAGUUUGAAGAGCUGGGGAUAGUUUUGUACUAGGGAGUG
rnacentral:tRNA from 1 species